CCCUGACUGAGCUCAAGGAUAAACGGGGAAGUCAUGGUUGAGACUUGAGAGCCUCUGUCUUGUCUUUGGAAGAAUCUUUGAUACAUCUGUAUCAAUUUUCCUAAAUGCAUUUCAAAGACUAGUCAAAGAAAAAAAAAGCUGUAAUAUUAUUUUCAAAAGUGUGCCUCAAAAAUGAACAACACAAACUUCACUGUUGCUCUUUCCACAGGCUCCAAAAAUAGUGACAUUAAUAAAGGUUCCGUUGGUUAUUUCAAGAGGCAGCAACCUUCUUCCUUACAAUUCUCUUUCGCCUAGCCUUUGGAGGUUGAGGAGAAUCUGAAGCUGAGUCAUGUUGCUUCAUACCAAGUAGCCGUGAGACGAUUGCAUUCUUUGAGAUGAACCAUCUUGAAUCUUGCUUUGCUACACCUUCCUCUGAGGGUCGGUUAUAUGCUUUUGCCAGUAGACCAUCUGAUUGAGCCAGCGGGUCGGCCUCCAUGCCUAGCCAUAUUUGUCUUGAUCUUUCCCCUAACCGAAUGGGACUUUGCUCGAUAUUCGCUGACGCAGCUUAGAACUCAUCAACAGGCUGUGAAGGCUUUGGUUGGAUCAUUGAUGCUCGGAAUUCAAUCUCACAACAUGCAGUGACCGCGACCUUUGUCUCGUCGCCCAGGGCAGAAACUAUGGCGAUGCUCACAGCCAUGACCUUUGCUCGGGAUCAUGGAAUCGAAUCCAUCUCACUCUUCUCUGACUCUCAAGUUCUUAUCAACACGAUCAAGUUGGAGAUCUAUAGCUUGCUUCGUGAUAUCUAUCUUCUCUCCCUUUCAUUUAAGACAAUCAAGUUUAAUUUUAUUCCAAAAAUAUUUAAUGUUAGAGCUGACUCUGUUGCCAAACAGGUUUUAUGGGCCCUGAACCAAAUUUAAGUUACGAAUGAAAUCAGUUUGCAAAAAAACAUUCAGCCCAUUUAAAUAUUUUAAAAGUUUGGAUCGUGUUUAAUAAUUAUAUUCAGUUUGAGUUACAUGUGCUUACCAAAAUAGUUUUAGUUUCAAAUAUUAAUCGGGUUUUUAAAUAGUUUUAGUUUCAAAUAUGUAGUUGAUUAAAAUGAAUAUAUUUCCAAUCUUAUAAAUAGAUUUACAAGGCCCUGACUGAGCUCAAGGAUAAACGGGGAAGUCAUGGUUGAGACUUGAGAGCCUCUGUCUUGUCUUUGGAAGAAUCUUUGAUACAUCUGUAUCAAUUUUCCUAAAUGCAUUUCAAAGACUAGUCAAAGAAAAAAAAAGCUGUAAUAUUAUUUUCAAAAGUGUGCCUCAAAAAUGAACAACACAAACUUCACUGUUGCUCUUUCCACAGGCUCCAAAAAUAGUGACAUUAAUAAAGGUUCCGUUGGUUAUUUCAAGAGGCAGCAACCUUCUUCCUUACAAUUCUCUUUCGCCUAGCCUUUGGAGGUUGAGGAGAAUCUGAAGCUGAGUCAUGUUGCUUCAUACCAAGUAGCCGUGAGACGAUUGCAUUCUUUGAGAUGAACCAUCUUGAAUCUUGCUUUGCUACACCUUCCUCUGAGGGUCGGUUAUAU
rnacentral:lncRNA from 1 species